rnacentral:rRNA from 1 species
ACAGCAGCAGCCACGGUAAUACGGAGGAUCCAAGCGUUAUCCGGAAUCAUUGGGUUUAAAGGGUCCGUAGGCGGUCUUGUAAGUCAGUGGUGAAAGCCCAUCGCUCAACGGUGGAACGGCCAUUGAUACUGCAGGACUUGAAUUAUUGGGAAGUAACUAGAAUAUGUAGUGUAGCGGUGAAAUGCUUAGAGAUUACAUGGAAUACCAAUUGCGAAGGCAGGUUACUACCAAUUGAUUGACGCUGAUGGACGAAAGCGUGGGUAGCGAACAGGAUUAGAUACCCCCGUAGUCCCUGUCUCUUAUAC